AAACAACUCUCAGCAACGGAUAUCUUGGCUCUUGCAACGAUGAAGAACGCAGCA
rnacentral:rRNA from 1 species